AUUGAACGCUGGCGGCAUGCUUUACACAUGCAAGUCGAACGGUAACAGGCCUUCGGGUGCUGACGAGUGGCGAACGGGUGAGUAAUGCAUCGGAACGUACCCAGAGGUGGGGGAUAACGCAGCGAAAGCUGUGCUAAUACCGCAUGUGAUCUGAGGAUGAAAGCGGGGGACCGAGCAGCAAUGUUUGGCCUCGCGCCUUUGGAGCGGCCGAUGUCGGAUUAGCUAGUUGGUGGGGUAAAGGCCUACCAAGGCGACGAUCCGUAGCUGGUCUGAGAGGACGACCAGCCACACUGGGGCUGAGACACGGCCCAGACUCCUACGGGAGGCAGCAGUGGGGAAUUUUGGACAAUGGGCGCAAGCCUGAUCCAGCAAUGCCGCGUGCGGGAAGAAGGCCUUCGGGUUGUAAACCGCUUUUGGCAGGAACGAAACGGUGUCCGCUAAUACCGGGCGCUAAUGACGGUACCUGCAGAAUAAGCACCGGCUAACUACGUG
rnacentral:rRNA from 1 species